rnacentral:rRNA from 1 species
GACGAACGCUGGCGGCGUGCUUAACACAUGCAAGUCGAACGGAAAGGCCCUGCUUGCGGGGUGCUCGAGUGUCGAACGGGUGAGUAACACGUGGGUGUUCUGCCCUUCACUUUGGGAUAUGCCUGGGAAACAGGGGCUAUAACCCGUUAGGAGCGAUUUUGAGGGUGGGGGUUGGUAAGUUUUUUCGGGGUGGGAUGAGCUGGCGGCCUAUUAGCUUGGUGGUGGGGUAAUGGGCUACCAAGGCGGCGACGGGUGGCCGGCCAGGGUGGGUGGGCGGCCACAAUGGGGCUGAGGGACGGCCCAGGCUCCCAAGGGGGGCAAGAGGGGGGAAUAUUGGACAAGGGGCGCGAGGCCGGUGCAGCGACGCCGCGGGGGGGAAGACGGCCUUUGGGGUGGAAAACCGUUUCGCUAGGGAAGAAGCUUUUUGUGACGGUACCUAGAGAAGAAGCACCGGCUAACUACGUG